GGCUCCAUAGCGCAGGGGUUAGCACACUGGUCUUGUAAACCAGGGGUUGUGAGUUCAACUCUCACUGGGGCCU